UGCCGUCCUUCGCCGCGGCCUUUUGUCGAAUCCUGAGGGAUCCGACGACCUCGCGAAUUGACGGUGGCUCCAACGAUGAAGCAACAGGCGACGGUGGCAGAGGGCGUAGUCAACAGUGGUGGCAGAAGGGUGUCGACGGCACGCCUGUUGACGUGGAGAAGCAGCACGGCUGGAUGUUAGGGUUUUUUUACUGAAAAUUUGUUUAUGUGUUGUGGGCUAGGGCUUGUAACUUUAGGGGUUUUUUUUUGUUUUUGUUUUGGGCUUGUAAUUUUGUAUUUAAGUCUGCUGUUGUAAAUGGACUCUUAAUAUUUGGACCAUUAAUAUUAUUUUUGUUUUA